rnacentral:rRNA from 1 species
AGAGUUUGAUCAUGGCUCAGGACGAACGCUGGCGGCGCGCCUAACACAUGCAAGUCGAACGAGAAUCAGCUGAUGAAGUUUUCGAAUGGAUUCGGUUGAGGAAAGUGGCGAACGGGCGAGUAACGCGUGAGCAACCUACCUUGUACUGGGGGAUAACGUCGGGAAACCGGCGCUAAUACCGCAUAACAUUACGAUAGCGCAUGUUAUUGUAAUCAAAGCUUUAGUGGUACGAGACGGGCUCGCGUCCAAUUAGCUAGUUGGUGAGGUAAAGGCUCACCAAGGCGACGAUUGGUAGCCGAACUGAGAGGUUGAUCGGCCGCAUUGGGACUGAGACACGGCCCAGACUCCUACGGGAGGCAGCAGUGGGGAAUAUUGCGCAAUGGGGGAAACCCUGACGCAGCGACGCCGCGUGAAGGAAGAAGGCCUUCGGGUUGUAAACUUCUUUGAUCGGGGACGAAAAUGACGGUACCCGAGGAACAAGCCACGGCUAACUACGUGCCAGCAGCCGCGGUAAUACGUAGGUGGCAAGCGUUGUCCGGAAUUACUGGGCGUAAAGGGCGUGUAGGCGGGGGGACAAGUCAGAUGUGAAAUACCGCGGCUUAACUGCGGGGGUGCAUCUGAAACUGUUCUUCUUGAGUGUCGGAGAGGAAAGUGGAAUUCCCAGUGUAGCGGUGAAAUGCGUAGAGAUUGGGAGGAACACCAGUGGCGAAGGCGGCUUUCUGGACGAUAACUGACGCUGAGGCGCGAAAGCGUGGGGAGCAAACAGGAUUAGAUACCCUGGUAGUCCACGCUGUAAACGAUGGAUACUAGGUGUAGGAGGUAUCGACCCCUUCUGUGCCGGAGUUAACACAAUAAGUAUCCCGCCUGGGGAGUACGGCCGCAAGGCUGAAACUUAAAGGAAUUGACGG